rnacentral:rRNA from 1 species
UACGGAGGGUGCAAGCGUUAUCCGGAUUUACUGGGUUUAAAGGGUGCGUAGGCGGGCCAUUAAGUCAGUGGUGAAAGCUCCGAGCUUAACUCGGAAACUGCCAUUGAUACUAUUGGUCUUGAAGUUCGGUCGGAGGUUGGCGGAAUGUGUCGUGUAGCGGUGAAAUGCUUAGAUAUGACACAGAACACCGAUUGCGAAGGCAGCUAGCUAGACCGACAUUGACGCUGAGGCACGAAAGCGUGGGGAUCAAACAGG